AGAGUUUGAUCAUGGCUCAGGACGAACGCUGGCGGCGUGCUUAACACAUGCAAGUCGAACGGAAAGGCCCUUCGGGGUACUCGAGUGGCGAACGGGUGAGUAACACGUGGGUGAUCUGCCCUGCACUCUGGGAUAAGCCUGGGAAACUGGGUCUAAUACCGGAUAGGACCGCAUGCUUCAUGGUGUGUGGUGCAAAGCUUUUGCGGUGUGGGAUGAGCCCGCGGCCUAUCAGCUUGUUGGUGGGGUAAUGGUCUACCAAGGCGACGACGGGUAGCCGGCCUGAGAGGGUGACCGGCCACACUGGGACUGAGAUACGGCCCAGACUCCUACGGGAGGCAGCAGUGGGGAAUAUUGCACAAUGGGCGCAAGCCUGAUGCAGCGACGCUGCGUGAGGGAUGACGGCCUUCGGGUUGUAAACCUCUUUCAGUAGGGACGAAGCGAAAGUGACGGUACCUACAGAAGAAGGACCGGCCAACUACGUGCCAGCAGCCGCGGUAAUACGUAGGGUCCGAGCGUUGUCCGGAAUUACUGGGCGUAAAGAGCUCGUAGGUGGUUUGUCGCGUUGUUCGUGAAAACUCACAGCUUAACUGUGGGCGUGCGGGCGAUACGGGCAGACUAGAGUACUGCAGGGGAGACUGGAAUUCCUGGUGUAGCGGUGGAAUGCGCAGAUAUCAGGAGGAACACCGGUGGCGAAGGCGGGUCUCUGGGCAGUAACUGACGCUGAGGAGCGAAAGCGUGGGUAGCGAACAGGAUUAGAUACCCCGGUAGUCCAA
rnacentral:rRNA from 1 species